rnacentral:rRNA from 1 species
CAGCCGCCACGGUAAAACGUAGGGUGCGAGCGUUAAUCGGAAUUACUGGGCGUAAAGCGUGCGCAGGCGGUUCGUUAAGACAGAUGUGAAAUCCCCGGGCUUAACCUGGGAACUGCAUUUGUGACUGGCGAGCUAGAGUAUGGCAGAGGGGGGUAGAAUUCCACGUGUAGCAGUGAAAUGCGUAGAGAUGUGGAGGAAUACCGAUGGCGAAGGCAGCCCCCUGGGCCAAUACUGACGCUCAUGCACGAAAGCGUGGGGAGCAAACAGGAUUAGAUACCCCCGUAGUCCCUGUCUCUUAUAC